rnacentral:rRNA from 1 species
UACAGAGGUCCCAAGCGUUGUUCGGAUUCACUGGGCGUAAAGGGUGCGUAGGCGGUCGGGUAAGUCUGACGUGAAAUCUCACAGCUUAACUGUGAAACUGCAUUGGAUACUAUCCGGCUCGAGGAAUGGAGGGGAGACUGGAAUACUUGGUGUAGCAGUGAAAUGCGUAGAUAUCAAGUGGAACACCAGUGGCGAAGGCGAGUCUCUGGACAUUUCCUGACGCUGAGGCACGAAAGCCAGGGGAGCAAACGGG